GUCUAUUGCUGUGAACAGAAACUGAAAGACCUCUGAAGGGAGACCCUCACUCAAGUCUCGGGAUAAUAGCAGACCCCCAAAAACUCACAAGAGA
rnacentral:pre_miRNA from 7 species